AAGGAGUCUAACAUGCUUGCGAGUAUUUGGGUGUCAAACCCGGAUGCGUAAUGAAAGUGAUUGGAGGUGGGAAGCGCAAGCUGCACCAUCGACCGAUCUGGAUUUUCUAAGAUGGAUUUGAGUAAGAGCACGUAUGUUGGGACCCGAAAGAUGGUGAACUAUGCCUGAAUAGGGCGAAGCCAGAGGAAACUCUGGUGGAGGCUCGUAGCGGUUCUGACGUGCAAAUCGAUCGUCAAAUUUGGGUAUAGGGGCGAAAGACUAAUCGAACCAUCUAGUAGCUGGUUCCUGC
rnacentral:misc_RNA from 1 species